UUCUUGGUGGUGUAGUGGUCAAGACGCUCGCCUGGUAAUCAGGAGGGCGUCGGUUCAAUCCCGGCCCAGGUAU
rnacentral:tRNA from 1 species